rnacentral:lncRNA from 1 species
AAGAUUAAAUCUCGGAGCUAAACCUAACUACUUGUCAUUGCAAGAGACACACCUACAAUUGAUAUUAAAAGACAAUCAAAUACAGGAGUUUCCCUCAUGGCUCAGUGGUUAAUGAACCCAACUAGUAUCCAUGAAGACACGGGUUUGAUCCCUGGGCUUGUUCAGUGCGUUAAGAAUCUGGCGUCGUCGUAAGCUGGGAUAUAGGUCACAGAUGUGGCUCGGAUCCUGUGUUGCUGUGGCGUAGCUGGCAGCUACAACUCUGAUUUGACCCUUAGCCUGGGAACCUCCGUAUGCUGUGGGUGCAGCCCUAAAAAAACAAAAGACAAAAAAAUAAAAAAAGACAAUCAAAGACAUAUCAAGCAAAUAAAAACAGGGGACUCGAUUUCACUUUUGUACCUGCUUGGAUUCAGGGCCAGAAACAUUAAAUAAAGUACUGUAAAGUAGUAAAAAAAUAUAAUUCAUAGUGAAAAUCUAAGUCAUGAGUAUCUAUGGACUGAAAAAUCAUAACACUGAAUUUACCAAAACAAAAAAUGACAAGAACUACAAGGGGAAAAUUGGCAUAAUAGAAGACUAAUUCACCUUAGUCCAAGUCACAUCAAAUGGACCAAAAUAAAUAAGGAUAGAAAAAACCUAAAUAAUGUAAUUAAUAAACACAGCCACAGCAACGCAUGAUCCGAGCUGUGUCUGCGACCUACACCACAGCUCACAGCAACACUGGAUCCUUAACCCACUGAGCAAGGCCAGGGAUCAAAUCUGCGUCCUCGUGGAUUCUGGUCGGGUUCCUUAGCCACUGAACCAAGAGGGAAACUCCAAUAACACAGUUUUUAAACAAAGACUUUGACACAGAGGUAGGGGCACAUCUCUUUGAGGUGAAAUAACUAAGGUCGAAAGAAUAAAAGGGUUUGGAAGAUUCCAGGCUGUUCCAUGUUGGGUUAUACAGGGAAUCUCCUAAAGGAUUAUCAGGUCUCAGACGGGAAACUCUGACCGGGAGAUGAAAGCACUCUGUUCAUUUUAGGCACAAAUGAAUAUCGGGUUCCAAGUGCAGCUUCUCUGCAUGUGCAUACAGUGUGAGUAUUUGUGGAAAGUCUUCAACUGUCCCUAACCCGAGGCUUGAACCAGUUAACUCUGUCAACUCCUCAGCCAGCUCUGUGACCCUGGGCAAUCUCCUAGCCUAUGAACAGUGGAAGGCACUGCUCGUCAUGUCUUCAUUUCUAGGCGGGAGGAAUGAGGUGAAACCAGGACAGAGAGAACUCAGGCACAUUUUUAGAUACAUCCUUCAUACAAAAGUACUGUGGACACUGGGCCAUAUCUUUACGAGAUAUUUUAAAUAUUGCACAAGUAAUUUUAUUCUACUGACAAGUGAAAAUCUGGGAAAUGCAGAAAAGUAUGGAGAAGGAAAAAUGCUCCCAUCAUUUAAGGCCCAGAGAUAACGUUUGGAUGAGAAGCCCCAUCACAUCCACUUGGAACCUCCUCCUACCUGAGCCACGCAUCUCAAGGGGCAAGGACACCAGACCCUCCUUCCCUCCCUCCAUCCUUCCAUCAACCCCACUCUCACCUGGCUCCAGAUAGAACUACAGGCAGCUGCAUGGCAAUGGCUAAGUCUCUGAAGCCAGAUCUGAGUUAUCACAUCUGUAGGACAAGAUACCACCACCUCCCCUCUGUUAGAGCGACACCACGUGGCCUGAGUGUUACUCGUGGAGCAUCUUCCUCACACCACCUACAGGGCUUAGAGCUCCCACACCCCUCAGCUCUGUGCAAAGGCUUUGUUAAACCCCCAAUUCCCAUUCAGACUACAGUGUUAAGGUUGUGUGAAUUCCUGAUGUGUCCUCAUGACAACUGCACCUUCUAGAAGGUAGAGGAAGCUCAGGGAGGCAACGUGACCUAAUUCUAAACAGCAAAGAAGUAGGGAGACUUAGUAUCAUGUUGGAGUUUUCUUUACAAAUUAGACAACAGAAGCAACCUACACCUUUCCCUGGUAGAUCUUCCUAGACCUGAAAUAGUCCAGAUUUUCCCCUCAAACUCUCAAAUUUCCUGGAUGUUCCCUGACAGCACUUGCAUCGCAAAUGGGCUGAGGACCAAUCAAUCAGGAUAAGAUGUAAAGAGUCUGCAGAAUGAGAGUGAUCUGUGCUGUGUGGGAAUCUGAACCCAUAGAGUCCAAAGUCAUGGAAAGUCUAAUCUACAAUCUCUCUUAUGCACAUGUGCGUGCACACGUGAGCACACACACAUCCUGCCCCACCCCUACCUCUUCUGCAGAUUCUUGGCAGACCUGCCUUCAACCUGCACCUUGUUGUUAAGGCCCAGCCAUGAAGCUUCGUCUCUGGAGGCUCAUAAUUGCAAAGGGUACAGAGCGCUCGUUACCAGACCCCUCAUGGAGAUCCUAAAGAGUGAACCAGGGAAAUGAACUUUAACUAGAAUUCUCUGCUUGGAGCUCACCUGUGUUGCUAUCUCAGUGAGGGCAGCGGCCUCGGCCUCCCCCAGGUGUUGCACCAUCUUGUAAAAUAGGCUGUUUCUAUUUUGCAGCAACUCAUACGGCCGACUGAAUACUACCUGUCUUCCUGAAUCCAAAACCUAAAAAUCAGCAGAAAGAAACCUAUUAUUAGACAAUGUUUCCCAGUAACAUAGUAUAACUCAGAUAAUAUUUUAUUGCACAUGGAUAUGUUCACUAAUUGAAACUUAAAAGGAAGAGGAAGGGGCUCUUACUCUGCUUUCUACUUACUAGUGGCUUUGCUUCAGGGUGCUGGAGAGAAGAAAGAGUCUGAAACAAUUGGCCCAAAUGAUACAGCUAUAAACAUAGUUCUGAUGUUAAGUGGUACUGAGUUCUUCAUUUAGGUCAUUCUUAGACUAAAUGUAUUUUAACAGAAGAUGCUGAAACUCUGAACAGGACACAGGUUGUUUUUCCACAGCUAAGGACUGCAGUUAAUUCUGCCCCAUGGAAUUUAACUAGAGACAUUUAUUAAGUCUCUUAAAGGCCAGUUUCAUGUUAAUCUUUUGUUUACCCCUGGGAAGCAUUGCUAAGGACAGCUUGCUCAAAAGAAUUCAAGAAAAACUGAAUCUGUCACAUCCACAUAAUAAUUUAAAUGUUCUCUUAGAAUGCCAAUUUAGAUGCCACGAAUGUGUAAUUUAACUUA